GUUUGGACCUGGCUCAGGAUGAACGCUGGCGGCGUGCCUAAUACAUGCAAGUCGAGCGAACGGACGAGAAGCUUGCUUCUCUGAUGUUAGCGGCGGACGGGUGAGUAACACGUGGAUAACCUACCUAUAAGACUGGGAUAACUUCGGGAAACCGGAGCUAAUACCGGAUAAUAUUUUGAACCGCAUGGUUCAAAAGUGAAAGACGGUCUUGCUGUCACUUAUAGAUGGAUCCGCGCUGCAUUAGCUAGUUGGUAAGGUAACGGCUUACCAAGGCAACGAUGCAUAGCCGACCUGAGAGGGUGAUCGGCCACACUGGAACUGAGACACGGUCCAGACUCCUACGGGAGGCAGCAGUAGGGAAUCUUCCGCAAUGGGCGAAAGCCUGACGGAGCAACGCCGCGUGAGUGAUGAAGGUCUUCGGAUCGUAAAACUCUGUUAUUAGGGAAGAACAUAUGUGUAAGUAACUGUGCACAUCUUGACGGUACCUAAUCAGAAAGCCACGGCUAACUACGUGCCAGCAGCCGCGGUAAUACGUAGGUGGCAAGCGUUAUCCGGAAUUAUUGGGCGUAAAGCGCGCGUAGGCGGUUUUUUAAGUCUGAUGUGAAAGCCCACGGCUCAACCGUGGAGGGUCAUUGGAAACUGGAAAACUUGAGUGCAGAAGAGGAAAGUGGAAUUCCAUGUGUAGCGGUGAAAUGCGCAGAGAUAUGGAGGAACACCAGUGGCGAAGGCGACUUUCUGGUCUGUAACUGACGCUGAUGUGCGAAAGCGUGGGGAUCAAACAGGAUUAGAUACCCUGGUAGUCCACGCCGUAAACGAUGAGUGCUAAGUGUUAGGGGGUUUCCGCCCCUUAGUGCUGCAUCUAACGCAUUAAGCACUCCGCCUGGGGAGUACGACCGCAAGGUUGAAACUCAAAGGAAUUGACGGGGACCCGCACAAGCGGUGUUUUCAAGNGUUUUAAUUCGAAGCAACGCGAAGAACCUUACCAAAUCUUGACAUCCUUUGACAACUCUAGAGAUAGAGCCUUCCCCUUCGGGGGACAAAGUGACAGGUGGUGCAUGGUUGUCGUCAGCUCGUGUCGUGAGAUGUUGGGUUAAGUCCCGCAACGAGCGCAACCCUUAAGCUUAGUUGCCAUCAUUAAGUUGGGCACUCUAAGUUGACUGCCGGUGACAAACCGGAGGAAGGUGGGGAUGACGUCCAAUCAUCAUGCCCCUUUAUGAUUUGGGCUACACACGUGCUACAUUGGGACUAUACAAAAGGGGCAGCGAAACCGCGAGGUCA
rnacentral:rRNA from 1 species